ACGGGAGGCAGCAGUGGGGAAUAUUGGGCAAUGGGGGAAACCCUGACCCAGCAACGCCGCGUGAAGGAAGAAGGUCUUCGGAUUGUAAACUUCUGUCUUUAGGGACGAAACAAAUGACGGUACCUAAAGAGGAAGCCCCGGCUAACUACGUGCCAGCAGCCGCGGUAAUACGUAGGGGGCGAGCGUUGUCCGGAAUCAUUGGGCGUAAAGGGCGCGUAGGCGGAGAUAUGUGUCAGUUGUGAAAACUACAGGCUUAACUUGUAAAUUGCAGCUGAAACUGUAUCCCUUGAGUGCAGGAGAGGAAAGCGGAAUUCCCAGUGUAGCGGUGGAAUGCGUAGAUAUUGGGAGGAACACCAGUGGCGAAGGCGGCUUUCUGGACUGUAACUGACGCUGAGGCGCGAGAGCGUGGGGAGCAAACAGGAUUAGAUACCCUGGUA
rnacentral:rRNA from 1 species